AUGAGCGAACACAGGAAUGAGAGCCCUGCAGGGAGACCGGCCUCGGGACCCCCGGAGGAGCUGGAGCAGCCGAGCCGGGCCCGGGGGAGGCAGCUGCCCCUGGUCACGGUGUGGGACGAGUGCAGGGACGGAACCCGGGGAUGGAACCUGGGUAGAGUGCACUGCACCAAGAGCGCUGCUGCCCGGGGCUGGGGAGCUCGGGGGGGCUGCCAGGCCGUCGAGGAGCAGGACGGGCUGGGGGACAGGCGGGGAGGGCUGUGCGGGACCAGCGGGCAGCACAGGGCUGAGCCCACAGCCCCCGGGAUGCAGCGGGCUGACCAGAGCAUGGAGCCCGAGGACCAGGAGCGGGAGCUGGGCAGAGGGCAGGGUCUGCAUGGAGAACGAUGCAAGGAGCAGCAAAGACCCAAGAGGAAGGGCUCUGGGGCUGCAGGGAAGGGGCGCCCUGAGGGCACCGAGUGGGCUGUACUUCCUGGGCCGACGGUCCGCCUGUCCCGGCAGCCUGUGUGGAUCAGGAGCCAAAAUGGGCUGCAGGCCCAGGAAGCUGACCAGGAUGGGGGAGCAGGGGGCACGGGUCAGGCCAGGCACCCACUGGAGGGGAGCGGCCUCGGGGCUCUGAUCCAGGAGCCCACACUCACCGACCCCAGCUGUGUCCAGACACCCCAGCUGCCGCGCACAGAGCAGGGUGGCCAGACCAUGCCGGCCGGUCCCUCCACCACAGCCCCGAAAGUCUACCCUCUGGAUUCUUGCUGUGGGGACACGUCCAGCUCCACCGUGACCCUGGGCUGCCUGGUCUCUAGCUACAUGCCCGAGCCGGUGACCGUGACCUGGAACUCAGGUGCCCUGACCAGCGGUGUGCACACCUUCCCGGCUGUCCGGCAGGCCUCCGGGCUCUACUCUCUCAGCAGCAUCGUGACCGUGCCCGCCAGCACCUCAGGAUCCCAGACCUUCACCUGCAACGUAGCCCACCCGGCCAGCAGCACCAAGGUGGACAAGCGUGUUGAAGUCCCCAGUAGCAGCUCCAAGUGUCAUAAACAGACUUGCGUGAGGGGACCGUCUGUCUUCAUCUUCCCCCCAAAACCCAAGGACACCCUGAUGAUCACUGGAAAGCCUGAGGUCACGUGUGUGGUGGUGGACGUGGGACAGGAUAACCCCGAGGUCAAGUUCUCCUGGUUCGUGAAUGACGUGGAGGUGCACACGGCCAGGACAAAGCCGAAAGAGGAGCAGUUCAACAGCACCUACCGCGUGGUCAGCGCCCUGCCCAUCCAACAUGAUGACUGGAGUCAGGGAAAGGAGUUCAAGUGCAAGGUCAACAACAAAGGCCUCACGGCCCCCAUUGUGAGGACCAUCUCCAGGAGCAAAGGGCAGGCCCUGGAGCCGCAGGUGUACGUCCUGGCCCCACCCCGGGAAGAGCUCAGCAAAAACACGGUCAGCCUCACCUGCCUGAUCACCGGCUUCUACCCAGACUACAUCGCCGUGGAGUGGCAGAGAGACCGGCAGCCUGAGUCGGAGGGCAAGUACGGCACGACCCCACCCCAGCUGGACGCCGACGGCUCCUACUUCCUGUACAGCAGGCUCAGGGUGAACAAGAGCAGCUGGCUAGAAGGAGACAGCUACACGUGUAUAGUGAUGCAUGAGGCUCUGCACAAUCACUACACAGAGAAGUCCAUCUCUAAGUCUCCGGGUAAUUGAGCCACACGUCCCUGCACCAGCAAGCCCUCACCCACCCCACCCCCCGGGCUCCAGGUCCAGUCAGGACCCCCAGCCCCUCCCUGUGUGCAUUCCUCCUGGGCCGCCAUGAAUAAAGCACCCAGCGCCGCCCUGGGACCCUGCAA